GCCCGCGUGGUGGAACUGGUAUACACAGCAGGUUGAGGGCCUGUGCCGUUACGGCGUGGAGGUUCGAGUCCUCUCGCGGGCA
rnacentral:tRNA from 1 species